GACGAACGCUGGCGGCGUGCUUAACACAUGCAAGUCGAACGGAAAGGCCCUGCUUUUGUGGGGUUCUCGAUUGGCGAACGGGUGAGUAACACGUGAGUAACCUGCCCUUGUCUUUGGGAUAACUUCAGGAAACUGGGGCUAAUAUCGGAUAGGAUAUCCUGCACCAUGGUGGGGGUUGGAAAGUUUCGGCGUUUGGGGAUGGACGCGCGGCUUAUCAGCUUGUUGGUGGGGUAGUGGUUUACCAAGGCUUCGACGGGUAGCCGGCCUGUGAGGGCGACCGGCCACCUGAGGACUACGGGACGGACCAGACUGCUACGGGAGGCAACGGUGGGAAAUAUUGCACAAUGGGCGGAAGCCUGAGGCAGCAACGCCGGGUGCGGAAUGACGGCCUUCGGGUUAAGAACCGCUUUCGCCUGUGACGAAGCGUGAGUGACGGUAAUGGAUAAAGAAGCACCGGCUAACUACGUG
rnacentral:rRNA from 1 species